AGAGCACAAAAGUUAACUCUUUACACAGCUAAACACGUUGAUGCUGAAUGAGCGAGACGAGACUUCCUGGUUAACGCACCAAUCAGCACACAGGAACUUAACUGCGUGCUCUGAUUGGGUAGCUUCUCAGCCAUUUCCCAAUAGCGUCCCUUUUAUGAAAUCAACUGGGCAAAUCAACUGAGGAAGCAUGUACCAGAAGUAAAAAGACCCAUUAUCCGCAGAAAACCGCGAAGCAGCGAAAAAUCUGCGCUAUAGAUCAGUGAUAGAGUGAAGCUGCGAAAGUCGAAGCGCGAUACAGCGAGGGAUUACUGUAUAAGUAUCACAAAUGACAUUUCUUCAAAAGGUGGCUGCGUUGACACUUCGGGAAAACCUCUGAAUAGGCUGUCUUCUCUUCCAGAUCGAGAGGAGUCCACUGAUGUAGUUUGGUUCAUGACAUACAGUAAGGUUGUCCCUGGGCAGUUCCCCCUAGAGGUGCUCCAGGUUUGUACCACUGGGUGGAGACUCUGCAGCAAACACAGGACAUGCCGGACAGAUUAUAUCGCUUGGCUGUUUUGGAAACACCUAUGAAUUCCCCAGGAAGAACUGGAAUCUGUAGCUGGAGACAGGAAAGUCUGGGCUAACCUGAUUGGCUUGCUGGCACAGCAACCUUUAACCAGGUAAAAUGAUUUCUGAAAAUGAGAAGAAAUUCAUUCUUUCAUUUAUAAAGAUUCUGCAUUGGACUUGUAGCUUUCACUCCCUUGAAGAUCAUUUUUGAUAUAUUUUGGGACCUUUGAGAUAUUUGUAAACAUUUAAAGCCAGCUCCCCAUCUUAGGCCUGUGCAGGCCAAGGUCCUCCCGUGGAAUUUGGAAUCAGGUGGCCUAAGGUGAGGCCUGUCUUUGCAUCUUCUAGUGAAAGUUGUGGCCUGGCUUAUGGGUCUUUUAGAGGCCUCAUAACUUUUUCAUUAUUUUCUGUGCACUCCACAGAUA